AGAGAGGUUGCCCUAGCAACUGCCAAGGCCACCUUUGCCUUGAGGACACCCCCUCUUCUAUCCACAUCAGCCCGGACUUCCUGCUCUGAGAAAGCAUUUUGGAGAAGGAGAAAAGUAGGAUUAGGUGGUCACAAAGCACCGAGCUGAUUAGAAGCUCAGGUUCCUGAUGUCCCAUCGCAGAAAGAAUUCAGUGAGUGACAAAAUGAUAGGGCCCUCCGGAACACUUAUCUAGACCAUCUCUAGUUCCUGAGACUGAAGAAAAAGGCAGGGAAAGAAGGCGUUUUUUGUGGAAGGGGGAAAACUGAGAUCUCUGGUUCGGUCUUUAU